rnacentral:piRNA from 1 species
UUUUUCCUUUAAAAGGGGAGU